AAAGCAUUUGUUGGAACUCCCUCGCCCUUCUCCACAGAGAUUGUUUUGCUCAACUGUGGUUUUAAAACAUGCCUUCAGAAUUGGAAGAUGGGAGAAAACUCAAGCAACCUUCCAGAUGUUCAGAUCCAGGUCCUUUUCUUUCCUAACCUCAAGGGCAUGAUGAAAUCUCUGCGCACGGAGCUGAAAUUAGUGGACAGCAACAAAUUGGUAAUUUGCAGGGCCUGAAAUUACUAUCCAGACACCAAGAUGGACCCCAGAUGCUACGCCAGCUGCCCUCCCAGUACCCUGACCAUCCAGCCACCCACCUUCAUCCUGACCAUCCCAGGACCAGCCCUCCACUGCCCCGACCACCCUUUGGAAUCCAGCAAUACAACCCUUGUGAAAGGAAGAUGAUCCCCUAUGGAUGGGGAAGUGGGUCUGGUGGGUACAGAUCCCACACUGGGGGUUCAGGUGCUGGGUCCAGCUCCUUCUUUUACUCCCAGCAAGGAAGCACCAAUGGAUGUCACACCUGCCAGUAAUACACCCCGAUGCGACAGUCCACUGAACGAAGACAACGGAGAGAAAUCAAGGUGCAGAUCUUGCUUCCAGAAUUGUAGUUUCUAAAGCUUUGCUGAACUGAGCCAUCCCAUUAUGAGCAAAAUGAGCACGAGAUUUUUGUCUGAGUCCUUAAUAUUCUUGAAUGUGUCAUAUCAAAUUGCUCUCUUUGGGUUUGCACUUCCAUGCUCCCUGAAGUAUCGAAUGUGAAGCUGUGCAUCACUUCUCUUUCAAAAUAAAACCACUAUUGCAUUAAAAA